AGCGAACGCUGGCGGCAGGCUUAACACAUGCAAGUCGAGCGGGCGUAGCAAUACGUCAGCGGCAGACGGGUGAGUAACGCGUGGGAACGUACCCUUUGGUUCGGAACAACUCAGGCAAACUUGUGCUAAUACCGGAUAAGCCCUUACGGGGAAAGAUUUAUCGCCGCAAGAUCGGCUGGCGUCUGAUUAUCUAGUUGGUGAGGUAACGGCUCACCAAGGCGACGAUCAGUAGCUGGGCUGAGAGGAUGAGCAGACACAUUGGUACUGAGACACGGCAGAAACUCCUACGGGAGGCGGGAGUGGGGAAUAGUGGAAAAUGGGGGCAACGAUGAUCGAGCCAUGCCGGGAGAGUGAUGAAGGCAGGAGGGUUGUAAAGCGCUUGUGUGCGGGAAGAUAAUGACGGUACCGCAAGAAUAAGCCACGGCUAACUUCGUG
rnacentral:rRNA from 1 species